UCUGAUCGAUGAUGACGAAAAUAAUAAUAGCAGACUGUUGGAUGAAGCUUUCGGAUAUGGGACUGAGAUCAGCU
ensembl:snoRNA